GCAUCAGUAGUUUAGAGGUAGAAUUAUAGCCUUCCAAGCUGUCGACCCGGGUUCGAUUCCCGGCUGAUGCA